UAUUACACCACAUAAUUAGUACUACACCACAUUAAAACAUCGAUAUCUUCAACCUUGAGAAAAUUUUUAAAGCCAAAUUUUUCUAUGCUUCGUGCUUUUGGCUAAGAAAGCUUUGGUCUCGGAUUCACGACCCACAAGAUAAUCUAAUACACUAAAAAGAAAGUUGUCAUCAAAUCUUUUCACCUCCAUCGACAUCACUUCUUCGUAA
rnacentral:lncRNA from 1 species